rnacentral:rRNA from 1 species
AGCGGCGAACGGGUGAGUAACACGUAGGUGAUCUGCCCAUCAGACGGGGACAACGAUUGGAAACGAUCGCUAAUACCGGAUAGGACGAAAGUUUAAAGGUGCUUCUGGCACCGCUGAUGGAUGAGCCUGCGGCGCAUUAGCUAGUUGGUAGGGUAAAGGCCUACCAAGGCGACGAUGCGUAGCCGACCUGAGAGGGUGAACGGCCACACUGGGACUGAGACACGGCCCAGACUCCUACGGGAGGCAGCAGUAGGGAAUCUUCGGCAAUGGGCGAAAGCCUGACCGAGCAACGCCGCGUGAAUGAUGAAGGCCUUCGGGUUGUAAAAUUCUGUUAUAAGGGAAGAACGACUUUAGUAGGAAAUGGCUAGAGUGUGACGGUACCUUAUGAGAAAGCCACGGCUAACUACGUGCCAGCAGCCGCGGUAAUACGUAGGUGGCGAGCGUUAUCCGGAAUUAUUGGGCGUAAAGAGCGCGCAGGUGGUUGAUUAAGUCUGAUGUGAAAGCCCACGGCUUAACCAUGGAGGGUCAUUGGAAACUGGUCGACUUGAGUGCAGAAGAGGGAAGUGGAAUUCCAUGUGUAGCGGUGAAAUGCGUAGAGAUAUGGAGGAACACCAGUGGCGAAGGCGGCUUCCUGGUCUGUAACUGACACUGAGGCGCGAAAGCGUGGGGAGCAAACAGGAUUAGAUACCCUGGUAGUCCACGCUGUAAACGAUGAGUGCUAAGUGU